AUUGAACGCUGGCGGCAGGCCUAACACAUGCAAGUCGAGCGAGAGACGGACGGGUGAGUAAUAUCUGGGAACCUGCCAGAUGGGGGGGGAUAACUACUGGAAACGGUAACUACUACUGCAUCCCCUCAGAAGUGCACCGAUGGGAUUAGCUAGUAGGUGGGGUAACGGCUCACCUAGGCAACGAUCCCUAGCUGGGCUGAGAGGAGGACCAGCAACACUGGAAUUGAGACCCGGUCCAGACGCCUACGGGAGGCAGCAUUGGGGAAUAUUGGACAAUGGGGGAAAGCUUGAUGCAGCCAGGCCGGUUGUGGGAAGAAGGCCUUCGGGUUGUAAAGCACUUUAAGCGGGGAGGCGUUACCCGAAUAAGAAGCACCGGCUAACUCCGUGCCAGCAGCCGCGGUAAUAC
rnacentral:rRNA from 1 species